UUAAGUUCAGCGGGUAGUCCCACCUGAUUCGAGGUCAAAGCUGAAAAGUGGCACACAGAUUGAGCAAUCUGCGAAACCGGUUUAGAAGCAACCCAAAUGAUGACUGGCCAUCCCAGAAGAUGUCCUCAACGAUCAGACUGUUAUCACGCUGAGUAGAACCAGUACCACACGAGGAUCGGCUAAUGCUUUUAAGGCCAGCC
rnacentral:misc_RNA from 1 species